GACGGAAGGUGCAAGCGUUGCUCGGAAUUACUGGGCGUAAAGGGCGCGUAGGCGGCCUUCUAAGUCGAACGUGAAAUCCCCGGGCUCAACCCGGGAACUGCGUCCGAUACUGGAAGGCUUGAAUCCGGGAGAGGGAUGUGGAAUUCCAGGUGUAGCGGUGAAAUGCGUAGAUAUCUGGAAGAACACCAGUGGCGAAGGCGGUCAACUGGCCCAUAACUGACGCUCAUGCACGAAAGCGUGGGGAGCAAACAGG
rnacentral:rRNA from 1 species